UUGACACCGUCGAUCUUCAAAUCUCCCCAUGGAGUUCUCGGCUUUGGCAAAAGGGUGGUUCUGAACGGUACGGCUUGAGCCGCUGAAGUGGAGAGAUUUCAACAGACACUUCAGGUCUUUAGUGUUCUGUUCUGUUCAGUUCCGUUGCCACAAUGCGACCUCGCCAAGGGCGGCCUAGACUACGUGCCUCUCCGGAUUUCGAGUGGGCCUUGGUCAUACGUGCAUGACGAUCCAAGAUGGUACGUAAAUGCUAGCUUGGGGAUUUGAUUAGCUUGUGAUGGGGCACCUUGAAUAAGUAUACGUCUGUCUGGGCAUUGGCGAGCAAGGAUGAGUAGAUAGACGGGGUGAAGCCCCGGAUCUUAGCGGGCGUGUGCGUUUUGUAAUGAUCUACAUACAACUGUGGAAAUAAAUACAUUACAAGGAGAGAUUCAAUUUUUUUUACAUAUCAACCAUGUCCCGUAUGUCUCGAACAUUUUUCUUAGCUGUUGUAAUAUGCACACAUGUGGAGGCGGUUUCCGAGCAGAUUGGAAUUUACUGAU
rnacentral:lncRNA from 1 species